CUGGAACCUUGAGCUAAGGCCUGGCUUAGGAAUUCUGUGAGACCUGGGAGUUGGCAGUUCUGUUAAGUCAACUGUCUUUUCUCUCUCUGUUGGUGUUCCCUGCCCAGAGAGGUGGCCAAAACUUUGGCUCUUGGGAAUUCCUUGAACUGGAGAGACAGUUGUGGAAAGAAGAGGAAAUUAGAACUUUUGGGAAGAGUUGUGAAAGGAAGAUCUGUAGUUAGAAGAAGAAAAUCUGGUUUUUACUCUUCUGUGGUUGCAGAAGGCAGCAGGUUAGGAAAUUGAGGGUCAAAGAAGUUAAAUGACUUGUCCAUGGUCACUUACAGGGUCAACCCCAUCCCUACAGAAUUGGAAGGAGAGAUUAUGAUGGACAGAGGGUCUUGCUGGCUAAAAAAAAUGGGCAUUUAUUGGCCAAAUUUCUGAUGAGUUGCUCCAUACUGGAUAGAUCAUUGGACAGCAAACACAGUCUAUUGCGAAAACCAUAUUCGAAGCCUUUCCAGCUUUAGAUAGUAAAGAAUGAUGCCACUUACAUUUUGUUAUGGAGAAGUACAUAGAGUGUUUCUAUGUGUGGGUGGAGAGAAUGCUAGACCCUUUUUAAUAC
rnacentral:lncRNA from 1 species